GAGUAGGGCGGGACACGUGGUAUCCUGUCUGAAUAUGGGGGGACCAUCCUCCAAGGCUAAAUACUCCUGACUGACCGAUAGUGAACCAGUACCGUGAGGGAAAGGCGAAAAGAACCCCGGCGAGGGGAGUGAAAAAGAACCUGAAACCGUGUACGUACAAGCAGUGGGAGCACGCUUAGGCGUGUGACUGCGUACCUUUUGUAUAAUGGGUCAGCGACUUAUAUUCUGUAGCAAGGUUAACCGAAUAGGGGAGCCGAAGGGAAACCGAGUCUUAACUGGGCGUUAAGUUGCAGGGUAUAGACCCGAAACCCGGUGAUCUAGCCAUGGGCAGGUUGAAGGUUGGGUAACACUAACUGGAGGACCGAACCGACUAAUGUUGAAAAAUUAGCGGAUGACUUGUGGCUGGGGGUGAAAGGCCAAUCAAACCGGGAGAUAGCUGGUUCUCCCCGAAAGCUAUUUAGGUAGCGCCUCGUGAAUUCAUCUCCGGGGGUAGAGCACUGUUUCGGCAAGGGGGUCAUCCCGACUUACCAACCCGAUGCAAACUGCGAAUACCGGAGAAUGUUAUCACGGGAGACACACGGCGGGUGCUAACGUCCGUCGUGAAGAGGGAAACAACCCAGACCGCCAGCUAAGGUCCCAAAGUCAUGGUUAAGUGGGAAACGAUGUGGGAAGGCCCAGACAGCCAGGAUGUUGGCUUAGAAGCAGCCAUCAUUUAAAGAAAGCGUAAUAGCUCACUGGUCGAGUCGGCCUGCGCGGAAGAUGUAACGGGGCUAAACCAUGCACCGAAGCUGCGGCAGCGACGCUGAUGCGUUGUUGGGUAGGGGAGCGUUCUGUAAGCCUG
rnacentral:rRNA from 1 species